rfam:Aedes albopictus isolate Foshan contig89518, whole genome shotgun sequence.
UCAACGGUCCUUUUUCAGGACCACCGAAAAUUAUUCUUAAAGAGUUAU